GACGAACGCUGGCGGCGUGCUUAACACAUGCAAGUCGAACGGAGUUACGUAUGAAGUAUUUCGGUACGGACUACAUAACUUAGUGGCGAACGGGUGAGUAACACGUGGGCAACCUGCCCUUAACCGGGGGAUAACAUUGUGAAAACAGUGCUAAUACCGCAUAACAGAGUAUCGGGCAUCCGAUAUUUUUAAAAGGAGCAAUCCGGUUUAGGAUGGGCCCGCGUCCAAUUAGCUAGUUGGUGAGGUAACGGCUCACCAAGGCUACGAUUGGUAGCCGAACUGAGAGGUUGAUCGGCCACAUUGGGACUGAGACACGGCCCAGACUCCUACGGGAGGCAGCAGUGGGGAAUAUUGGGCAAUGGGCGAAAGCCUGACCCAGCGACGCCGCGUGAAGGAUGAAGGUCUUCGGAUUGUAAACUUCUUUGAUCAGGGAAGAAAGAAAUGACGGUACCUGAAGAACAAGCCACGGCUAACUACGUG
rnacentral:rRNA from 1 species